rnacentral:rRNA from 1 species
UACGGAGGGUGCAAGCGUUAUCCGGAUUCACUGGGUUUAAAGGGAGCGUAGGUGGGUUGGUAAGUCAGUGGUGAAAUCCCCGAGCUUAACUUGGGAACUGCCAUUAAUACUAUCAGUCUUGAAUACUGUGGAGGUUAGCGGAAUAUGUCAUGUAGCGGUGAAAUGCUUAGAUAUGACAUAGAACACCAAUUGCGAAGGCAGCUGGCUACACAAAUAUUGACACUGAGGCUCGAAAGCGUGGGGAUCAAACAGG